rnacentral:rRNA from 1 species
GACGAACGCUGGCGGCGUGCCUAAUACAUGCAAGUGAAGUUCAGUGGCGGACGGGUGAGUAACACGUGGGUAACCUGCCCUCCUUUUUGGGAUAAGCCUUGGAAACGGGGUCUAAUACCGAAUAAGGGGGGAUGGGCGCGCGGCCUAGCGGCUUGUUGGUGGGGUGAUGGCCUACCACGGGGGUGACGGGUGGCCGGCCUGGGAGGGUGACCGGGCACAUGAGGACGGGGAUACGGCCCUGCGUCCGGCGGGAGGGAGGAGUGGUGGAUAUUGCACGAUGGGCUAAAGCCUGAUGCAGCGACGCCGCGUGGGGGAUGAAGGCUUUCGGGUUGUAAACCUCUUUCGCGAUCGAACGGGUAGGUGGAGAAGAAGCGCCGGCUAACUACGUGCCAGCAGCCGCGGUAAUAC